AUGCAGAAAGGCGGGAGGCUGCCCAUCUCCCUUCGGGGUUGCGCUCAGGGUUCGUGUGGACCUGGGCUGAGUUCGGGCUAUCCGGAGACGGUAGCGCUAGUUUUUGUCCUGAGCCUCCGGGCUGUGAGCAAUAACCCUCUGUAUUUCGGAGGGGGCACUCGGCUGUUGGUACUAGACACGCAGUACUUCGGCCCGGGAACCCGGCUGUCGGUGCUAGGCGCCGCCCUGACCUUCGGGGCCGGCAGCCGGCUGACCGUGGUGGACGAUCUGAGCCGGGUGCACCCGCCCAAGGUGGCUGUGUUCGAACCCUCGGAAGCAGAGAUCUCCCGGACCCAGAAGGCCACCCUCGUGUGCCUGGCCACGGGCUUCUACCCCGACCACGUGGAGCUGACCUGGUGGGUGAACAGGAAGCAGGUCACCACUGGGGUCAGCACGGACCCUGAGCCCUACAAAGAGGACCUCACACAGAAUGAUUCCAGAUACUGUCUGAGCAGCCGGCUGAGGGUGACCGCCGCCUUCUGGCACAACCCCCGCAACCACUUCCGAUGCCAAGUCCAGUUCUACGGGCUCACGGAGCAGGACCAGUGGGAGGAGCAGGACAGGGCCAAGCCCGUCACCCAGAACAUCAGCGCUGAGACCUGGGGCAGAGCAGACUGUGGCGUCACCUCCGCGUCUUAUCAGCAAGGCGUCCUCUCUGCCACCCUCCUCUAUGAGAUCCUGCUGGGGAAGGCCACCCUGUACGCUGUGCUGGUCAGCGCCCUGGUGCUGAUGGCCAUGGUUAAGAAAAAGGAUUCCUGAGACCAGCUCCAAAAGUGCAUCCCGAGUCAUUCUUUAUCAUGGCCUUGGAUUCUCCUUAACACCUUUCCAGUCUGUGUUCUUCAAGAGUUUCUCUCUCUCUCAUCUCCCUCCUUUACGGAUG